AACGAACGCUGGCGGCAGGCCUGACACAUGCAAGUCGAGCGAACCGCAAGGUUAGCGGCGGACGGGUUAGUAACGCGUGGGAACGUGCCCAAAGGUACGGAAUAGCCUCGGGAAACUGAGAGUAAUACCGUAUGUGCCCGAAAGGGGAAAGAUUUAUCGCCUUUGGAUCGGCCCGCGUUGGAUUAGGUAGUUGGUGGGGUAAUGGCCUACCAAGCCGACGAUCCAUAGCUGGUUUGAGAGGAUGAUCAGCAACACUGGGACUGAGACACGGCCCAGAGUCCUACGGGAGGCAGCAGUGGGGAAUUUUAGACAAUGGGGGGAACCCUGAUCUAGCCAUGCCGCGUGAGCGAUGAAGGCCUUAGGGUUGUAAAGCUCUUUCACCGGGGAAGAUAAUGACGGUACCCGGAGAAGAAGCCCCGGCUAACUCCGUGCCAGCCGCCGCAGUAACAC
rnacentral:rRNA from 1 species